rnacentral:rRNA from 1 species
CGACCGGCCGGCAUGGGUGAGUAACGCGUAUGCAACCUGCCCGAUACCGGGGUAUAGCCCAUGGAAACGUGGAUUAACACCCCAUAGUACUUUUAUCCUGCAUGGGAUGUGAGUUAAAUGUUCAAGGUAUCGGAUGGGCAUGCGUCCUAUUAGUUAGUUGGCGGGGUAACAGUCCACCAAGACGAUGAUAGGUAGGGGUUCUGAGAGGAAGGUCCCCCACAUUGGAACUGAGACACGGUCCAA